rnacentral:rRNA from 1 species
AGCUAUAAGUUCUCUGUAGCGCAGCUAACGCAUUAAGCACUCCGCCUGGGGAGUACGACCGCAAGGUUGAAACUCAAAGGAAUUGACGGGGGCCCGCACAAGCGGUGGAGCAUGUGGUUUAAUUCGAAGCAACGCGAAGAACCUUACCAGGUCUUGACAUACUCGUGCUAUCCUUAGAGAUAAGGAGUUCCUUCGGGACACGGGAUACAGGUGGUGCAUGGUUGUCGUCAGCUCGUGUCGUGAGAUGUUGGGUUAAGUCCCGCAACGAGCGCAACCCUUAUUACUAGUUGCCAUCAUUAAGUUGGGCACUCUAGUGAGACUGCCGGUGAUAAACCGGAGGAAGGUGGGGAUGACGUCAAAUCAUCAUGCCCCUUAUGACCUGGGCUACACACGUGCUACAAUGGAUGGUACAACGAGUCGCCAACCCGCGAGGGUGCGCUAAUCUCUUAAAACCAUUCUCAGUUCGGAUUGCAGGCUGCAACUCGCCUGCAUGAAGUCGGAAUCGCUAGUAAUCGCGGAUCAGCACGCCGCGGUGAAUACGUUCCCGGGCCUUGUACACACCGCCCGUCACACCACGGAAGUUGGGAGUACCCAAAGUAGGUUGCCUAACCGC